AUAUAUUAAAUAUAUAUGAAUAAAAUGAUUAAAAGUGACGUCAACAGAUUAUUUUCAAUCCUAAGUGUUAUGUGGUGUUUAGAGGUGAAUGCUCAGAAUACACGGAUUGGUUGUUUACCAUUAUUUCGGGAAUUUCGGGAGAAGCUUGGAAUCAGAUGUGCCGACGACCCGCUGCCAAAUGAAUCAAUAGACCCUGACUCAGUUUGUUCCACUGUCAAUCAGAGGUACCUGGCUGACCCCGAGGACAAAUGUAAGUACUACGAGUGUGACUCAUUGGGACGCUACGAGCUGAAGGACUGCCCAUCAGGAAUGUCUGUUCCCAUUUUUCUCCGCAAGGCGGCAGAGGAGGGAAAGUCAUCAUCUAAACCAGUGUGCAAACAAAUAUCGAAUGCGUGCAGGAAAUCACUGGUGGAGUUGAACGAAGCAGUCCAAGGAAACUUUACAAUCCAGAAAGAAAGGCGAUGUGGUAUUGAUUUGUUGUGGGUCGUUGACGUGAGUUGUAGCAUCACAGCGGAUGACAGACAGCGUGUGAAAAACUUCGUACUAAAUACGAUAGAUCGAUUUAAAAUAAAAGGCACUAACUUCGUUCAAGUCGGUGGUGUGACGUAUGAUGGUGUGAUUCACGACAUCAUGUACUUGAGUGAAACUGUCAACAAACCGGGAACAAUGCGUCGCUUUACAACACGGUAUGUCGAUGAGCCCAAAAAAUGUCACACCGCCACAAACAAAGCCCUACAAACAAUACACGACUUCUAUCUUGAUCCGCUUAACGGGAAUCGACCCGAUUUUCCAGAUAUUCUUAUUGUUAUGACAGACGGUAAAACUUAUCUCGGGAGAAAGGGAGAUAAUAAACAGGCGCGAGAGGAAACGGAGUUGUAUGGUCGACUGAUACGGGAGGAGAAGGGAGUUUCAAGUUUCGUCGUAGGCCUACCCAACAGGCAGACUGGUGAAUUUGCAGGGCAAAAAGAAUGGUUACAAAUAGCAGGGACUGAAGAGAGAAUAUUUCUUAUUUCUAAAUUCGAAGAACUUGAAAGUCGAGUCGAUGAAAUUGCACAAAGCGCAUGCCCAGACUCAUGAUAUAGUUCAACCGCUGAUUUUGGGGCAAAUGUAAUCAAUCGGAAUAUUAGGAUCAAGGGUAAUAUUGGGAAAACUUCUUGAAGUUGCAAGGUUCACAAUUUAUCUACCAAGAUUAAAUUAUAUCCAUGGUUUACGACAACUUAGUAGUAGUUCUCAAUUUUACAAAAAUAAUGUGAUGGUAACUAGAUCAAUAAUCUAAAAACUUGUUUUAUCAUUUGAUAGUUAAGAUCGUAGUGCACGUGUUAUAAUCUUUGUAAAUGAUUUAAUAAAUAGGUAAUAUUUAGGUAAUCAGGGUUGAAUAUCUAGGUCAAACCAUGUUAUUGGAAUGAGCUGGUAACGGAAAAGUGAAAGAAUUCUGUCAGUCCAGAUCAAUUGACAGUCAUCACUAUAUAAUGCUGAUGUACGUAAAGUCUGAUUUUAAGAAAACUAUUAGAAGCACGUACUUCGAAAAACUUUGUUGACUAUUUGACUCAACGGUGAAGGUCAUAUAAAUGCUGUAAAUGCAACAGAAGAUAGUGCGAUGAUAUCCUUUGUUUUUUAGGGAUACCAUUUUUAUCCAUGAGGGGAUAUCGCCUAUUUCCACGAGCGGGCGCAGCGAAUGAGUCGAGAUCGGCGAUAUCCAAGAGUCAUAGGAUAUCAUAUUUAUCCAAUGGUCGCUAUUUUUCUAUGGACUUAAAAAUAUUUGACCUAAAAGUUGUUGUUUUCUAAUUUUCUAAUUUUAUUUUCUUUGAACUUAUUUUUACAAAAUGAUUGCAUGAAAAAAAU
rnacentral:misc_RNA from 1 species